rnacentral:rRNA from 1 species
GCACAAGCGGUGGAGUAUGUGGUUUAAUUCGAUGCAACGCGAAGAACCUUACCUGGUCUUGACAUCCCGGAGACCCUUAGGAAACUAGGGGGUGCUUCCAUCUGGAAGAAUCUGGAGACAGGUGCUGCAUGGCUGUCGUCAGCUCGUGUCGUGAGAUGUUGGGUUAAGUCCCGCAACGAGCGCAACCCUUGCCUUUAGUUGCCAGCAGUUCGGCUGGGCACUCUAAAGGGACUGCCGGUGUUAAACCGGAGGAAGGUGGGGAUGACGUCAAGUCCUCAUGGCCUUUAUGACCAGGGCUACACACGUACUACAAUGGCCGAUACAAAGGGCAGCGACACUGCGAGGUGAUGCCAAUCCCGUAAAAUCGGUCUCAGUCCGGAUUGGAGUCUGCAACUCGACUCCAUGAAGUUGGAAUCGCUAGUAAUCGCGCAUCAGCCAUGGCGCGGUGAAUACGUUCCCGGGCCUU